GAUGAAGAACGCAGCGAAAUGCGAUACGUAAUGUGAAUUGCAGAAUUCAGUGAAUCAUCGAGUCUUUGAACGCACAUUGCGCCCCCUGGUAUUCCGGGGGGCAUGCCUGUCCGAGCGUCAUUGCAACCUUCAAGCGCGGCUUGUGUGUUGGGUCUCGUCCCCCGUGGACGGGCCCGAAAGGCAGUGGCGGCGUCCCGACAUGGUGCCCGAGCGUAUGGGAAUCCCCUUCCGCUCGAAUCGGCCCAUGCGGCGCUGGUCGUAACCAAAUUUUUUACCGGUUGACCUCGGAUCAGGUAGGGAUACCCGCUGAACUUAAGCAUAUCAAUAAGCGGAGGA
rnacentral:misc_RNA from 1 species